GCGAGUGUAGUAUAGUGGCAGUACGCAACCUUCCCAAGGUUGAGGUAGGAGUUCGAUUCUCCCCACUCGCU
rfam:Candidatus Harrisonbacteria bacterium RIFCSPLOWO2_02_FTLL_41_13b rifcsplowo2_02_scaffold_4774, whole genome shotgun sequence.